rnacentral:rRNA from 1 species
AACCCUGACGCAGCGACGCCGCGUGGGUGAAGAAGGCCUUCGGGUUGUAAAGCCCUGUCAGGUGGGAAGAAGUGUGCCAUGGCUAAUAUCCAUGACAUUUGACGGUACCACCAAAGGAAGCACCGGCUAACUCCGUGCCAGCAGCCGCGGUAAUA